GCCAGGCGUGGUGGCUCACGCCUGUAAUCCCAGCUCUCUGGGAGGCUGAGGCGGGCGGAUUGCUCGAGGUCAGGAGUUCAAAACCAGCCUGAGCAAGAGCAAGACCCUGUCUCUACUAUAAAUAGAAAGAAAUUAAUUGGCCAACUAAUAUAUAUUAAAAAAUUAAGGCCGGGCGCUGUGGCUCACGCCUGUAAUCCUAGCUCUUGGGAGGCCGAGGCGGGCGGAUUGCUCAAGGUCAGGAGUUCAAAACCAGCCUGAGCAAGAGCGAGACCCCGUCUCU
rnacentral:sRNA from 1 species